CUAAAUUUUCUCUCUUCCUCCCUAGAUUUUUGCAGAUGACAUUAUAAUUUUAGUAUUGGUCUUAUGCCAUGCCCAAACCCUGCCUUUUGUUUUUUCCUAGGGAUUACAUUUCUCUGGUUUUUGUGUGAAGAGUUUUUCCAGUCACCGCAUACCUCGCUAAGAAAGCUCUCCUUGGGUUUUGUAAAUCAAUACAUCAUGCUGAUGCCUUCUGCUUUAUUUACAUCCAUGGAUCAGUACCUUCAGAGUUUGUUUAUUCUUGCUAAUGACCCUGCUACAGAAGUCCGAAAAUUGGUUUGUGCAGCAUUUGUUCAGCUAAUUGAAGUCCGUCUAUCUUUCUUGGAGCCACAUCUAAGGAAUGUAAUUGAAUACAUGCCAUAAGUCAACAAGGAUGUUGACGAUGAAGUGGCUCUUGAAGCUUGUGAAUUCUGGUUUUGCUUUCAAAUAUGGUCUAUGCUGAUGAUGAUGAGUCACUUCUUGAAGCCGAGGCUGACUUUUCUGUUCAAUUUGUCUUUGAAUGAUUUUGAAUAUUGUAUUGCAUAAUUUAUGUGGAUCAAUUUAUUGUUGCUAAAGGAUGAGUCUCUCCCAGGCAGGGACCAGGUUUAUACUUUA